GCCGGGCGUGGUAGCUCACGCCUGUAAUCCCAGAACUUUGGGAGGCUGAGGCGGGCGGAUCACUUGAGGUCAGGAGUUUGAGACUAGCCUGGCCAACAUGGUGAAACCCCGUCUCUA
rnacentral:SRP_RNA from 1 species